rnacentral:tRNA from 1 species
UAAUUUUUAGUUUAAAAAAAACGUUAAAUUGCAAAUUUAAAGAUAUUAUAUAAUAAAAUUUU